rnacentral:rRNA from 1 species
AUUGAACGCUGGCGGCAGGCUUAACACAUGCAAGUCGAACGAGUGGCGGACGGGUGAGUAAUGCUUGGGAAUCUGGCUUAUGGAGGGGGAUAACGACGGGAAACUGUCGCUAAUACCGCAUACCAUAGGAUGAGCCCAGAUGGGAUUAGCUAGUAGGUGGGGUAACGGCUCACCUAGGCGACGAUCCCUAGCUGGUCUGAGAGGAUGACCAGCCACACUGGAACUGAGACACGGUCCAGACUCCUACGGGAGGCAGCAGUGGGGAAUAUUGCACAAUGGGCGCAAGCCUGAUCCAGCCAUGCCGCGUGUGUGAAGAAGGCCUUCGGGUUGUAAAGGACUUUUGUCAGGGAAGCGGUACCUGAAGAAGAAGCACCGGCUAACUACGUGCCAGCAGCCGCGGUAAUUC